UAAGAAGGGGGCGAGAGUUGUUCGGAUUUACUGGGCGUAAAGGGCGUGCAGGCGGCUCAUUUUGUCAGGCGUGAAAGCCCCGGGCUUAACCUGGGAACUGCGUUUGAUACGGAUGGGCUAGAGUUCGGGAGAGGAGAGUGGAAUUCCCAGUGUAGAGGUGAAAUUCGUAGAUAUUGGGAAGAACACCGGUGGCGAAGGCGGCUCUCUGGACCGAGACUGACGCUAAGGCGCGAAAGCGUGGGGAGCAAACAGG
rnacentral:rRNA from 1 species